rnacentral:rRNA from 1 species
CCUACGGGUGGCAGCAGUGGGGCAUAUUGCACAAUGGGGGAAACCCUGAUGCAGCGACGCCGCGUUAGUGAAGAAGUAUCUCGGUACGUAACGCUCUAUCAGCAGGGAAGAAAAUGACGGUACCUGACUAAGACGCCCCGGCUAACUACGUGCCCGCAGCCGCGGUAAUACGUAGGGGGCAAGCGUUAUCCGGAUUUACUGGGUGUAAAGGGAGCGUAGACGGCAGCACAAGUCUGGAGUGAAAUCCCGGGGCGUAACCCCGGAACUGCUUUGGAAACUGUGCGGCUGGAGUUCAGGAGGGGUAAGCGGAAUUCCUAGGGUAGCGGUGAAAUGCGUAGAUAUUAGGAGGAACACCGGUGGCGAAGGCGGCUUACUGGACUGUAACUGACGUUGAGGCUCGAAAGCGUGGGGAGCAAACAGGAUUAGAUACCCCAGUAGUC